rnacentral:lncRNA from 1 species
UAGGUGCACAAGAAGAGUUGUACUAUUGGGGGUUUAUAGAAGACGAGAAAAGGAUAGAAAAGAUUCGGAAAGAUGGCUUAAGUUGUAGCUACUCUAUACAAAAGAGGAAUCUGGUGUAAUUUUUUUUUAUUUAAUGAAUAUUAUUUUAUCCGCAUAUUUUCUGUUUUGGUUUUACUUUCUUUUGUGAUUGUAUCAACUUUUGCUAAGAAGACUGGUUUAUGAUAAAAAUCCGAUUCGACGCUUCCGUUGCGGAAUUCCAACAAUCGGUACCGGAUCCACAGCAGUCGGUAUUGAAGCGGGUUGCGGAUUCACAAAAUUCGGUACCGGGCGAGUACUGGAUUCCCAACAAAAUACAACAGUAAAGUGUUGCACUUUACUAAAAUGAAACUUUGAAACUAUAAUACGACAAAGGGCAGAUUUGAUAGUUCAGUACGAUCAAUUCUAGAAGUCACGUUUCGUAUGUGGUUUGCAAUUUGGUAUAGUUGUUUGGUUUCUUCUGCUUAUCCCAUUUUGACAUAUGUAAAGAAAUUAGGAUUAAUUUCAUUUAUACACUAACAAAACUAUGAAAUAUCAUAAAUAUACUUCAAAUUUUUAAAAUUUCACAAAUACCCUCUAAAUACAAUAUUUCUUUCAUAAAUGUCCUUAAUUACUGUUACUUUUUUGCUAAGUUCCGUUAACUCAACAUUUUUUUACUUUACUUUAAAAUAU